GACGAACGCUGGCGGCGUGCUUAACACAUGCAAGUCGUACGAAGAGCGAUGGAAGCUUGCUUCUAUCAAUCUUAGCGGCGAACGGGUGAGUAACGCGUAAUCAACCUGCCCUUCAGAGGGGGACAACAGUUGGAAACGACUGCUAAUACCGCAUACGAUCUAAACUCGGCAUCGAGGAUAGAUGAAAGGUGGCCUCUACAUGUAAGCUAUCACUGAAGGAGGGGAUUGCGUCUGAUUAGCUAGUUGGAGGGGUAACGGCCCACCAAGGCGAUGAUCAGUAGCCGGUCUGAGAGGAUGAACGGCCACAUUGGGACUGAGACACGGCCCAGACUCCUACGGGAGGCAGCAGUGGGGAAUCUUCCGCAAUGGACGAAAGUCUGACGGAGCAACGCCGCGUGAGUGAUGACGGCCUUCGGGUUGUAAAGCUCUGUUAAUCGGGACGAAAGGCCUUCUUGCGAAUAGUGAGAAGGAUUGACGGUACCGGAAUAGAAAGCCCGGG
rnacentral:rRNA from 1 species